rnacentral:rRNA from 1 species
UACGGGGGGGGCAAGCGUUGUUCGGAAUUACUGGGCGUAAAGGGUUCGUAGGUGGCUUGCUAAUUCAGACGUGAAAUCCCUCAGCUUAACUGGGGAACUGCGUCUGAUACUGGCGAGCUUGAGUGCAGGAGAGGAACGCGGAAUUCCAGGUGUAGCGGUGAAAUGCGUAGAUAUCUGGAGGAACACCGAUGGCGAAGGCAGCCCCCUGGGCUAACACUGACGCUCAUGCACGAAAGCGUGGGGAGCAAACAGG